rnacentral:rRNA from 1 species
ACACAUGCAAGUCGAACGGCAGCACGGGAGCAAUCCUGGUGGCGAGUGGCGAACGGGUGAGUAAUACAUCGGAACGUGCCCAAUCGUGGGGGAUAACGCAGCGAAAGCUGUGCUAAUACCGCAUAAGAUCUACGGAUGAAAGCAGGGGAUCGCAAGACCUUGCGCGAAUGGAGCGGCCGAUGGCAGAUUAGGUAGUUGGUGAGGUAAAGGCUCACCAAGCCUUCGAUCUGUAGCUGGUCUGAGAGGACGACCAGCCACACUGGGACUGAGACACGGCCCAGACUCCUACGGGAGGCAGCAGUGGGGAAUUUUGGACAAUGGGCGAAAGCCUGAUCCAGCCAUGCCGCGUGCAGGAUGAAGGCCUUCGGGUUGUAAACUGCUUUUGUACGGAACGAAAAGUCUCUUUCUAAUAAAGAGGGAUCAUGACGGUACCGUAAGAAUAAGCACCGGCUAACUACGUGCCAGCAGCCGCGGUAAUACGUAGGGUGCAAGCGUUAAUCGGAAUUACUGGGCGUAAAGCGUGCGCAGGCGGUUAUGUAAGACAGUUGUGAAAUCCCCGGGCUCAACCUGGGAACUGCAUCUGUGACUGCAUAGCU